rnacentral:rRNA from 1 species
CACGGGGGGAGCAAGCGUUGUUCGGAAUCACUGGGCGUAAAGGGCGUGUAGGCGGUCAGGUAAAUGGGAUGUGAAAUGCCCCGGCUCACCCGGGGACCGGCAUCCCAUACUGCUUGGCUUGAGUACGGGAGAGGAUGUGGGAAUUCCUGGUGUAGUGGUGAAAUGCGUAGAUAUCGGGAGGAACACCAAUGGCGAAGGCAGCUCGCUGGGACGGUACUGACGCUGAGACGCGAAAGCGUGGGGAGCAAACAGG